CGCGGCCUAUCAGCUUGUUGGUGAGGUAAUGGCUCACCAAGGCUUCGACGGGUAGCCGGCCUGAGAGGGCGACCGGCCACACUGGGACUGAGAUACGGCCCAGACUCCUACGGGAGGCAGCAGUGGGGAAUAUUGCACAAUGGGCGCAAGCCUGAUGCAGCAACGCCGCGUGCGGGAUGACGGCCUUCGGGUUGUAAACCGCUUUCAGUAGGGACGAAGCUAACGUGACGGUACCUACAGAAGAAGGACCGGCUAACUACGUGCCAGCAGCCGCGGUGAUACGUAGGGUCCGAGCGUUGUCCGGAAUUAUUGGGCGUAAAGGGCUUGUAGGCGGUCCGUCGCGUCAGGGGUGAAAACUCAGGGCUUAACCCUGAGCCUGCUUUUGAUACGGGCGGACUAGAGGGAUGCAGGGGAGAACGGAAUUCCUGGUGGAGCGGUGGAAUGCGCAGAUAUCAGGAGGAACACCGGUGGCGAAGGCGGUUCUCUGGGCAUUACCUGACGCUGAGAAGCGAAAGCGUGGGGAGCAAACAGGCUUAGAUACCCUGGUAGUCCACGCCGUAAACGGUGGGCACUAGGUGUGGGGGACAUUCCACGUUCUCCGUGCCGAAGCUAACGCAUUAAGUGCCCCGCCUGGGGAGUACGG
rnacentral:rRNA from 1 species